AGCUCCAAUAGCGUAUAUUAAAGUUGUUGCAGUUAAAAAGCUCGUAGUUGGAUUUCUGAUUUGAAUUGCCGGUCGAAUUCAUGUAUUUGAAUUCCGUACUAUGGUAAUUUGAAUCAUUUUUUGUGAGGAGAUUUUACUGUCAUUAAGUUGAUGGUUUAAUCGACUUGCAUCUUUUACUGUGAAAAAAUUAGAGUGUUUAAAGCAGGCGUUUGCCUAAAUAUUGAAUACAUUAGCAUGGAAUAAUAAAAUACGACUUUGGUGGUCUAUUUUGUUGGUUUGCACACCAGAGUAAUGAUUAAUAGGGACAGUUGGGGGUAUUCAUAUUUCAACGUCAGAGGUGAAAUUCUUGGAUCGUUGAAAGAUGAGCUUAGGCGAAAGCAUUUACCAAGGAUGUUUUCAUUA
rnacentral:rRNA from 1 species